AACCAUUUUUCUGCAUCGUGUGUUCUUAGGCCUAGAUGAGUCCCCAUUGGAAGUAGGGUGAUUGCUGAAAAAGUAAGCAUCCGCAAAUUCUGUUAUUUCUCUUCUUUGUUGGAAACCGUUUUAAACAGUGAAUUCAUGCCUGGAAGUGGAAUCAAAAUCGAAGUUAUCACAGGAGCUAGACCUAAUAGAGGACCCAGUACGCAAGUGGUUUUAUAAUAGAGAUUCUGAAUAAAAAACAGAAGAGACACGAAGAAGAAUAACUAGGAUAAUCUACAGUAACAGCUCCCUAAGGUUAGUAAGGUUUUAAAAGAAAAACACUUGAUAACACAUGGAAACCACCAGAUUUAGAACGUAACUUAAUCAAGAGGAACAUUAUGAAGAUCCUUGGAGAUCCGUAUUAGCUCCUAAAUCGUGCUCUUGGGUUACAGGAUCUGCAUCAGUUGGGAUACAUGGAGCUUGAAUUUUAGUAUGGACGUAUAGCAUUUUUGCCAUUUGAACAUGCCUGGUAGAACAGCUAUCUGGACCAGCUGCUAACGGG